UAUAAGAACCAUUAUGUGGGUGGGGGUGGGGUGUGUGUUACAGGUUGAUGUAUAUCAUUAAUUUCUCUAAAUUUAAGCUGAAUGGAUUAUAAAAUUCAGAUGGUUUAACGUGACACAAAAUCUGAUGAUUUAUUUGCAUGCACACAGGUACUAAAGUGUAUUAGUGUGACAUACAUGUAUAUACCAAUUACCAAAGCUUGAUAAUGAAUACAACGCCCAUUUCAUUACAGAUUUGGAAAAUAAUUAUAGUCAAAUCACCCCUACUGCAAGCCAAUUAUCAGACUGUAUCAAUCUCAGCUGAGUCCAAGAUAGGAAGAGACUUUGAAGAGAACACAGAAUUACUACAGACAAAAGACUUGUGAAGUUAUAAGGGGAAUUGCAGAACUCAUAGCUCCACUUCAAUCUAGAUAUGUUGACAGUUAUUUCACAGAAACACUUUGCAGCUGACAAAGAUAAUCAAAUGAUGACCACUACUUUAACUCUAUGGUUGCAGCAUAUUUCAAUUUUUGAAGUGACAAAUUUUAUUCCUGUUUGUGAACCAAUAUUCAAAAGAAA